rnacentral:rRNA from 1 species
UACGUAGGGUGCAAGCGUUGUCCGGAAUUAUUGGGCGUAAAGAGCUCGUAGGCGGUCUGUUGCGUCGGCUGUGAAAACCCGGGGCUCAACUCCGGGCCUGCAGCCGAUACGGGCAGACUAGAGUUCGGCAGGGGAGACUGGAAUUCCUGGUGUAGCGGUGAAAUGCGCAGAUAUCAGGAGGAACACCGGUGGCGAAGGCGGGUCUCUGGGCCGUAACUGACGCUGAGGAGCGAAAGCAUGGGGAGCGAACAGG